AUACAGAGGGUGCGAGCGUUAAUCGGAAUUACUGGGCGUAAAGCGCGCGCAGGCGGAUUCAUUAGUCAGGUGUGAAAUCUCGGGGCUCAACCCCGAAACUGCGCCUGAAACUGUGAAUCUAGAAUCUCGGAGGGGGUUGGGGAAUUUCGCAUGUAGGGGUAAAAUCCGUAGAGAUGCGAAGGAACACCAGAGGCGAAGGCGCCGACCUGGACGAGUAUUGACGCUGAGGCGCGAAAGCGUGGGGAGCAAACAGGAUUAGAAACCCCUGUAGUCC
rnacentral:rRNA from 1 species